AUGCCAAACAAUCGUGAUUCGAACCGAGGCGCGCGCAUCAUCACGGGCCAACCAAGCAAAGCCGCCACUACACUAGCUUUCCUAGGAGCUAGUAGUCCCAUGGCCAUGGCCAGAUCAACUGUGCUUCCAUGCCUCUUGCUGCUAGCCAUCGUGUCCCUUGCCGCCGCGGACGGCGGCGGAAACAACCCCACCGAGUCUGCCGGGCAGGUCCGCCUGAGCUGCGGCGCGUCCGCCUCGGCCACCGACUCCGACGGCCGUGCGUGGGACGGUGACUCAGCGUCCAAGUUCUUGCCGUCGACGAGCGCCGGCGUCGCGGCCCGAGCGUCGUAUCAAGACCCAUCGCUGCCUUCUUCCGUGCCUUACGUGACGGCGCGCGUGUUCGCGUCGAGCCACACGUACACCUUCGCGCUCCGACCCGGCCGCGUGUUCCUCCGCCUCUACUUCUACCCGGCCGACUACGGCAACCACAGUGUCUCCGGCUCCCUCUUCGGCGUCACGGCCGGCGGCGUCACGCUGCUGCAAGACUUCAACGCGUCCCAGACCGCGCUCGCGCUCGACGCCGCCUACCUCGUCCGCGAGUUCUCCGUCAACGUCAACUCGAGCGGGAGGCUGGAAGUCACCUUCGCCCCGUCCUCCGGCGCCUCGUCUCACUACGCGUUCGUGAACGGCAUCGAGAUCGUGCCCACGCCGGACGUGUUCACGAAGCCGGUGCCGACCUUCGCCAACGGGGGGCGCCCUGACCCGAUGCCCAUCCGCGCCGACACGGCCUUCCAGACCAUGUACCGUCUCAACGUCGGCGGCGAGGCCGUCUCUCCGGCCGACGACUCCGGCCGCUUCUACCGCACCUGGGACACCGACGUCCCUUACAUAUUCGGCGCGGCCGUCGGGGUCUCUUUCGAGAAGGACAGCGACGUCACCAUCCGAUACCCGCCGUCCGUGCCGCCGCACAUCGCGCCGGAGGGCGUGUACGCGUCGGCGAGGUCCAUGGGCCCGACUGCGCAGAUCAACCUGAACUACAACCUCACCUGGAUCCUACCCGUGGACGCGGGGUUCUACUACCUCCUGAGGUUCCACUUCUGCGAGAUCCAGUACCCGAUCACCAGGGUGAACCAGCGCUCCUUCUUCAUCUACAUCAACAACCAGACGGCGCAGGAGCAGAUGGACGUCAUCGCAUGGAGCGGAGGGAUAGGGGUUCCGGUGUACACCGACUACCUAGUCGUCACGACCGGCUCCGGCCAGACGGACAUGUGGGUCGCGCUGCACCCGGACCUCAGCAGCAGGCCGGAGUACUACGACGCGAUACUCAACGGCCUCGAGGUGUUCAAGCUCCAGACAUACGGCAGCAACAACCUUGCCGGGGCCAACCCGCCGAUCCCACAGAAGCAGCUCUACCAAGGAGAGUCCAAGAGGAAGAGUGCCGUCGCCGCGGCCGUGGGUGGAGCGGUCGCCGGUGGCCUCCUGGCGGUGUUGAUCGGCUGCCUAUGCGCGUGCGCUAUUUGCAGACGGGGCAGGAAGGCCACGUCGAUGGUCGUGUGCGAGUCAGAAGCCAUUCCUGAGAAGCAAGCCCAUGGUCCUCCUAGCCCAACAAAAAGCUCUGCUUUGUUUAAGUCCGGCCAGACAUAA
rnacentral:rRNA from 1 species